UCCAUCCAUUUGACUCUUUUUUCCUUCUUUUUUUCAGUCACAGUGGGGUGAUCUGGGGCUCUUGUUUGUUUAUUAGGAGCAGGCCUGCAGGAAAAGGAGAGAAAAAUAUGAAGAGAUUUCCCUGGCAAGCCACUUGCACGCAAGCGUGAGAUUGAUCCAAUGAUUUCUAUUAUCAUAAUUCCUAUAUUUCUUUGUAGAGAAUUGCCAGCCAGCCGUAUCUUGUCCUGGAGUUAUUGAAGGAAUGGGCAGGGGAAGCAUUGUUUUAUGGAUUACUGAAUGGACGAGAGGGUCAUGUGGACGAAACGGUCAUGAACGUGCUGGCGAUCCGUAGAAAUACUCUGGUUGUCAGCAUCUCAUGUAAAGUUGGGCCCAUCAUAGGCUUAUGGUGGGUCCCUGCUAGUUUCCAGCACCCAAUGAACCAGCUUUUAGCUUCCCAUCCUAAAAACAAAGAUUGUACAUCCUCUGUCUUCCAGGAAGCCUUGCCUGUUGGAUCUUGGAUCAUUACCGCAUGGUUGUACAAAAUCAAACUAUGAGGCCAACAUUGAAGGUUCGCCUGCCGGCUUGCUUGCCUUAGGUUUUCUGAAUGGUCCUCUGUUACUGAAUUGAUGUCAAGUUGAGAUUACAUCACAGUUGGAAGUAGAGCCUCAUGCUCUAAUGGAAUCAAAAUUCUGGGGGGUGCAUCUGUUGUUGAAAGAGGAUAAGCAAAGACCUAUUUUAAGUCGUGGAAAGCUUUCUUUUGGUGCUUCUCAUCAACAGUUUUUAGCAUUAUCCAUUCAUAACAGGGAAAGAAGCAAAAGGGGAAUAACCUUGUGUCAAUACAAUUCGAAGAAGAUCCCCGCAGCAGGAGAGUUUAAUUGUUUGAUUUGUAUUAUCGAGCAACAAAUUGAGGUUUGCUUGGCAAUCACAUGGUGUUGCAUACCCGACUUCCUUCCCCGAUGGAAUGUUGGGAUGAGAGAAGCUGCAUCCAGUCUUAUGACUUGAUAUUCUUUUGCUUUCUUGGUGUUGUAUAUUUUACGAGUUUUGAUUCCUUCAAGCAUAUAUUAAGGGUAUUGGAAAAUAAGUAUAAAUAUAAAUAGUGACAUAGCUGAAGGUCCAAUGAAGGUUCAAGACGCACAUUUGCAUGGGA